rnacentral:rRNA from 1 species
GGCGACGACGGGUAGCCGGCCUGAGAGGGCGACCGGCCCACUGGGACUGAGACACGGCCCACACUCCUACGGGAGGCAGCAGUGGGGAAUAUUGCACAAUGGGCGCAAGCCUGAUGCAGCGACGCCGCGUGAGGGAUGACGGCCUUCGGGUUGUAAACCUCUUUCAGCAGGGAAGAAGCGAGAGUGACGGUACCUGCAGAAGAAGCGCCGGCUAACUACGUGCCAGCAGCCGCGGUAAUACGUAGGGCGCAAGCGUUGUCCGGAAUUAUUGGGCGUAAAGAGCUCGUAGGCGGCUUGUCGCGUCGGUUGUGAAAGCCCGGGGCUUAACCCCGGGUCUGCAGUCGAUACGGGCAGGCUAGAGUUCGGUAGGGGAGAUCGGAAUUCCUGGUGUAGCGGUGAAAUGCGCAGAUAUCAGGAGGAACACCGGUGGCGAAGGCGGAUCUCUGGGCCGAUACUGACGCUGAUGAGCGAAAGCGUGGGGAGCGAACAGGAUUAUAUACCCUGGUAGUCCACGCCGUAAACGGUGGGCACUAGGUGUGGGCAACAUUCCACGUUGUCCGUGCCGCAGCUAACGCAUUAAGUGCCCCCGCCUGGGGAGUACGGCCGCAAGGCUAAAACUCAAAGGAAUUGACGGGGGCCCGCACCA